UCCGUCAUGGUGUAGUGGCUAGCAUUUCAGACUCUCAUUCAUUCAUUUGUCCCGCCCCCAAGUACUUACCUACUUAGUGGUCAAAACACACAUGUGAUGUGUCCUCUGAGAACCCGGGUUCAAUUCCCGGUGACGGAA